CCCGUGAGAACGCCCUUUUCCCUCAACCAGAUAAAGGAGCCGGCAUCAGGCACAGACUCCUAGCCCAUAACGCCUAGUUUUACCACACCCUCAAGGGCAUUCAGCAGUGACAAAUAUUACUUAUAAGCGCCAGCUUGAUUUAGUUAAAGAAAAUUAGAGCCGGCCAAUCCGGUGCCAGCCGCCGCGGCUACACCAGCAGGCUCAAGUUGACAGCCAUCGGCGUUAAGCGUGAUUAAAGUGAUCCUCAAUUAGAGUUGAAUAUGAAUUUAGUAGUGAUAAGCUUAUUACUUAGAAAAACAAAAACGAAAGUUACUCUAAUCCUGCUUGAAUACACGACAGCCAGGAUACAAACUGGGAUUAGAU
rnacentral:rRNA from 1 species